rnacentral:rRNA from 1 species
AACGAACGCUGGCGGCAGGCCUAACACAUGCAAGUCGAGCGCCCCGCAAGGGGAGCGGCGGACGGGUGAGUAACGCGUGGGAACGUACCCUUUGCUACGGAAUAGCCUCGGGAAACUGGGAGUAAUACCGUAUGUGCCCUUCGGGGGAAAGAUUUAUCGGCAAAGGAUCGGCCCGCGUUGGAUUAGGUAGUUGGUGGGGUAAUGGCCUACCAAGCCGACGAUCCAUAGCUGGUUUGAGAGGAUGAUCAGCCACACUGGGACUGAGACACGGCCCAGACUCCUACGGGAGGCAGCAGUGGGGAAUCUUAGACAAUGGGCGCAAGCCUGAUCUAGCCAUGCCGCGUGAGCGAUGAAGGCCUUAGGGUUGUAAAGCUCUGUCCUUGGGGAAGAAGGUCUUCGGACUUGACGGUACCCAAGAAGAAAGCCCCGGCUAACUACGUG